CAGUCGCCACGGGAAUACGUAGGUGGCAAGCGUUGUCCGGAAUUAUUGAGCGUAAAGGGCUCGCAGGCGGUUUCUUAAGUCUGAUGUGAAAGCCCCCGGCUCAACCGGGGAGGGUCAUUGGAAACUGGGAAACUUGAGUGCAGAAGAGGAGAGUGGAAUUCCACGUGUAGCGGUGAAAUGCGUAGAGAUGUGGAGGAACACCAGUGGCGAAGGCGACUCUCUGGUCUGUAACUGACGCUGAGGAGCGAAAGCGUGGGGAGCGAACAGGAUUAGAUACCCCUGUAGUCCCUGUCUCUUAUAC
rnacentral:rRNA from 1 species